rnacentral:rRNA from 1 species
AUUGAACGCUGGCGGCAUGCCUUACACAUGCGAGUCGAACGGCAGCGGACCUUCGGGUGCCGGCGAGUGGCGAACGGGUGAGUAAUGCAUCGGAACGUACCUUUCAGUGGGGGAUAACGUAGCGAAAGUUACGCUAAUACCGCAUAUUCUGUGAGCAGGAAAGCAGGGGAUCGCAAGACCUUGCGCUGAUUGAGCGGCCGAUGUCAGAUUAGCUAGUUGGUGAGGUAAAGGCUCACCAAGGCGACGAUCUGUAGCGGGUCUGAGAGGAUGAUCCGCCACACUGGGACUGAGACACGGCCCAGACUCCUACGGGAGGCAGCAGUGGGGAAUUUUGGACAAUGGGAGCAACCCUGAUCCAGCCAUGCCGCGUGAGUGAAGAAGGCCUUCGGGUUGUAAAGCUCUUUCGGCCGGGAAGAAAUCGCACAGGCUAAUACCUUGUGUGGAUGACGGUACCGGAAUAAGAAGCACCGGCUAACUACGUGCCAGCAGCCGCAGUAAGAC